GUAGGUGGCAAGCGUUGUCCGGAAUUAUUGGGCGUAAAGCGCGCGCAGGCGGGUUCUUUAAGUCUGAUGUGAAAGCCCACGGGCUCAACCGUGGAGGGUCAUUGGAAACUGGAGAACUUGAGUACAGAAGAGGAAAGCGGAAUUCCACGUGUAGCGGUGAAAUGCGUAGAGAUGUGGAGGAACACCAGUGGCGAAGGCGGCUUUCUGGUCUGUAACUGACGCUGAGGCGCGAAAGCGUGGGGAGCAAACAGGAUUAGAUACCCUGGUAGUCCACGCCGUAAACGAUGAGUGCUAAGUGUUAGGGGGUUUCCGCCCCUUAGUGCUGCAGCUAACGCAUUAAGCACUCCGCCUGGGGGUACGGCCGCAAGGCUG
rnacentral:rRNA from 1 species